rnacentral:rRNA from 1 species
UACGUAGGGUGCAAGCGUUGUCCGGAAUUAUUGGGCGUAAAGAGCUCGUAGGCGGUUUGUCGCGUCUGCUGUGAAAACUGGGGGCUCAACCCCCAGCCUGCAGUGGGUACGGGCAGACUAGAGUGCGGUAGGGGAGAUUGGAAUUCCUGGUGUAGCGGUGGAAUGCGCAGAUAUCAGGAGGAACACCGAUGGCGAAGGCAGAUCUCUGGGCCGUAACUGACGCUGAGGAGCGAAAGCUAGGGGAGCAAACAGG